CCUACGGGGGGCAGCAGUGGGGAAUAUUGCACAAUGGCGGAAACCCUGAUGCAGCGACGCCGCGUGAGUGAAGAAGGAAUUCGUUACGUAAAGCUCUAUCAUCAGGGAAGAAAAUGACGGUACCUGAGUAAGAAUCCCCUGCUAUCUAAGUACCAGCAGCCUCGGUAAUACGGAGGGCGCAAGCGUUCUCCGGAUUUACUGGGUGUAAAGUGAUCGUAGACGGUUCGACAUGUCUGGAGUGAAAUGCCGCAGCUUAACUGCGGAAGUGCUUUGGAAACUGGCGAACUUGAGUGCGGGAGAGGUGAGCGGAAUGCCUGGUGUAGCGGUGAAAUGCGUAGAUAUUAGGAGGAACACCGGUGGCGAAGGCGGCUUACUGGGCCGUAACUGACGUUGAGGCUCGAAAGCGUGGGGAGCAAACAGGAGUAGAUACCCGUGUAGUC
rnacentral:rRNA from 1 species